UAGAGUUUGAUCCUGGCUCAGAUUGAACGCUGGCGGCAGGCCUAACACAUGCAAGUCGAACGGUAGCACAGAGAGCUUGCUCUCGGGUGACGAGUGGCGGACGGGUGAGUAAUGUCUGGGAAACUGCCUGAUGGAGGGGGAUAACUACUGGAAACGGUAGCUAAUACCGCAUAACGUCGCAAGACCAAAGAGGGGGACCUUCGGGCCUCUUGCCAUCAGAUGUGCCCAGAUGGGAUUAGCUAGUAGGUGGGGUAACGGCUCACCUAGGCGACGAUCCCUAGCUGGUCUGAGAGGGUGACCAGCCACACUGGAACUGAGACACGGUCCAGACUCCUACGGGAGGCAGCAGUGGGAAUAUUGCACAAUGGGCGCAAGCCUGAUGCAGCCAUGCCGCGUGUAUGAAGAAGGCCUUCGGGUUGUAAAGUACUUUCAGCGGGGAGGAAGGUGUUGCGGUUAAUAACCGCAGCAAUUGACGUUACCCGCAGAAGAAGCACCGGCUAACUCCGUGCCAGCAGCCGCGGUAAUACGGAGGGUGCAAGCGUUAAUCGGAAUUACUGGGCGUAAAGCGCACGCAGGCGGUCUGUCAAGUCGGAUGUGAAAUCCCCGGGCUCAACCUGGGAACUGCAUUCGAAACUGGCAGGCUAGAGUCUUGUAGAGGGGGGUAGAAUUCCAGGUGUAGCGGUGAAAUGCGUAGAGAUCUGGAGGAAUACCGGUGGCGAAGGCGGCCCCCUGGACAAAGACUGACGCUCAGGUGCGAAAGCGUGGGGAGCAAACAGGAUUAGAUACCCUGGUAGUCCACGCCGUAAACGAUGUCGACUUGGAGGUUGUGCCCUUGAGGCGUGGCUUCCGGAGCUAACGCGUUAAGUCGACCGCCUGGGGAGUACGGCCGCAAGGUUAAAACUCAAAUGAAUUGACGGGGGCCCGCACAAGCGGUGGAGCAUGUGGUUUAAUUCGAUGCAACGCGAAGAACCUUACCUACUCUUGACAUCCAGAGAACUUUCCAGAGAUGGAUUGGUGCCUUCGGGAACUCUGAGACAGGUGCUGCAUGGCUGUCGUCAGCUCGUGUUGUGAAAUGUUGGGUUAAGUCCCGCAACGAGCGCAACCCUUAUCCUUUGUUGCCAGCGGUCCGGCCGGGAACUCAAAGGAGACUGCCAGUGAUAAACUGGAGGAAGGUGGGGAUGACGUCAAGUCAUCAUGGCCCUUACGAGUAGGGCUACACACGUGCUACAAUGGCGCAUACAAAGAGAAGCGAACUCGCGAGAGCAAGCGGACCUCAUAAAGUGCGUCGUAGUCCGGAUUGGAGUCUGCAACUCGACUCCAUGAAGUCGGAAUCGCUAGUAAUCGUAGAUCAGAAUGCUACGGUGAAUACGUUCCCGGGCCUUGUACACACCGCCCGUCACACCAUGGGAGUGGGUUGCAAAAGAAGUAGGUAGCUUAACCUUCGGGAGGGCGCUUACCACUUUGUGAUUCAUGACUGGGGUGAAGUCGUACAAGGUAACC
rnacentral:rRNA from 1 species